rnacentral:RNase_P_RNA from 1 species
GGCAGCCGCUGGCAAACCCAGAGGAAAGUCCAUGCUCGCACUGUCUGCGAUGACAGUAGUGUCUGUGCUGGUCUAAAAAAUAAGGCCAGGCAUCUCCAUGAGAUGACGGCGGAACUGAAACCUAAAGACGAAAGUCCAUGGCGGAAGUCCUUAAGGUGUCACAGUGACGAAGCCUGUGAGGAAACGCACAGGGUGGAACGCGAUAAACCCCUCAGGCGAGAAACCCAAAUUUGGUAGGGGAACCGGAAAAGGUGAAAUGAAACCCGCUCCGGCUGCGAAAGCAGAGAUAAAUGGCUGCCGCACCGCAAGGUGAACAGAACAUGGCUUAU